ACGGGAGGCAGCAGUGAGGAAUAUUGGUCAAUGGACGAGAGUCUGAACCAGCCAAGUAGCGUGCAGGAUGACGGCCCUAUGGGUUGUAAACUGCUUUUGUACGGGAAUAAAGUGACCUACGUGUAGGUUUUUGCAUGUACCGUAAGAAUAAGGACCGGCUAAUUCCGUGCCAGCAGCCGCGGUAAUACGGAAGGUCCGGGCGUUAUCCGGAUUUAUUGGGUUUAAAGGGAGCGCAGGCGGUCUGUUAAGCGUGUGGUGAAAUGUAGGCGCUCAACGUCUAACGUGCCACGCGAACUGGCGGACUUGAGUGCGGUGAACGCUGGCGGAAUUCGUGGUGUAGCGGUGAAAUGCUUAGAUAUCACGAAGAACUCCGAUUGCGAAGGCAGCUGGCGGUACCGUUACUGACGCUCAUGCUCGAAAGUGUGGGUAUCGAACAGGAUUAGAUACCCUGGUA
rnacentral:rRNA from 1 species